ensembl:snRNA U6 U6 spliceosomal RNA
GUACUCACUUCAGUAUUACCUAUACUACAAUUGAAUAAUACAGAGAAGUAUAGCACAGCCCUUUUGUGAAGAUGAUAUGCAAAUACAUGAAAUAUUCUAUAUUAAA